GACGGAGGGUGCAAGCGUUGUUCGGAAUUACUGGGCGUAAAGCGUACGUAGGCGGCGGAUUAAGUCGAAUGUUAAAGCCUGGGGCUCAACCCCAGAGAUGCACUCGAUACUGGUCUGCUAGAGGGUGAUAGAGGAAAGUGGAAUUCCGAGUGUAGCGGUGAAAUGCGUAGAUAUUCGGAGGAACAUCAGUAGCGAAGGCGACUUUCUGGGUCACACCUGACGCUGAGGUACGAAAGCGUGGGGAGCAAACGGG
rnacentral:rRNA from 1 species